rnacentral:lncRNA from 1 species
UUACAUUACUGCAUAAUUUUAUGCUCCAUAGCUAGGAAAGCAUGUAUGGCUUCCUUGAACACUUCACCUGUCACCAUGAGAAUUUCACUCUUUUCCUGAACAAGCACAGCCUUUAUAUAAAGUAAACAUAAAUGAGCCAAUCCAGGGCGGAAAGUUCCUGAGGCCAGAAUAAAACUAAAAAAAUGUCACCACUAUUUUCAGAUGGAGAUCCCAGGAAUGCAUUGCCUGUGGUAUGUGAAGUAUGUUCAAAGACAUGUAAUGUUAUUUUGUUUAGCCAGAACAGCCUCCCUGUGCCUGGAUGUGCUCUGUAACAGAUAUCUUAAUGCCUUGCCAUGCUCCUGCCAAUGAAGCUGUGAGUGGGGUUUCCUCAGAGCAGUGAUGCUUUCCAGCUUCCCCACUGCAGGCCCAUGCCCAGGUGAGACCAACCCCAUGGAAGUGCCUGUGAUGGUUUCCAAAACACCUCCUCCCCCCUGGAAAAGAGAGGUUGCUCUGAGCAUGACCCCUCCUGCCUGCUGACAGCAAGUGCUGGUUCAACACAGAUACCUGGAGCAGAAUUAGUGAAAAGCUUUGUACGAGACUGCAGGGCAAAUUCAGGCUCAUGGAGCUUUUCCUGCUUAGACUGAAUCAUGACGUUCAGACUGGAGUCACGUUUUCUCUGGUGGCAGCAGCACUGAGAUUUCUGAAGCAGAUGCUCUGUAAUCUUCAGCCACGCCUGGAUAUCCUCUGUCAUCAGGUAAAGCCCAUACUGGUGAGGAACUCACGUUGCCAACAGCCACUUUCUUCAGGGUGGAGCUAAUGAACCUUGGAAAACGAGAUGCUGGUUCAGAAAAG